rnacentral:rRNA from 1 species
AUUGAACGCUGGCGGCAGGCUUAACACAUGCAAGUCGAGCGAGCGGCGGACGGGUGAGUAAUGUCUGGGAAACUGCCUGAUGGAGGGGGAUAACUACUGGAAACGGUAGCUAAUACCGCAUACCAUCAGAUGUGCCCAGAUGGGAUUAGCUAGUAGGUGGGGUAAUGGCUCACCUAGGCGACGAUCCCUAGCUGGCCUGGGAGGAGGACCAGCAACACUGGAGUGGAGCCAGUGUCCAGACGCCUACGUGAGGCAGCAGUGGGGAAUAUUGCACAAUGGGCGAAAGCCUGAUGCAGCCAUGCCGCGUGUAUGAAGAAGGCCUUCGGGUUGUAAAGUACUUUCAGCGAGGAGGCGUUACUCGCAGAAGAAGCACCGGCUAACUCCGUGCCAGCAGCCGCGGUAAUAC